rnacentral:rRNA from 1 species
ACGCUCGACACCUACGGGAGCAGCAGUGGGGAAUAUUGCGCAAUGGAGGAAACUCUGACGCAGUGACGCCGCGUAUAGGAAGAAGGUUUUCGGAUUGUAAACUAUUGUCGUUAGGGAAGAAAAAAGACAGUACCUAAGGAGGAAGCUCCGGCUAACUACGUGCCGGCAGCCGCGGUAAUCUGAGCGGGCUGGCAAGGC